rnacentral:rRNA from 1 species
GACGAACGCUGGCGGCGUGCUUAACACAUGCAAGUCGAACGGAAAGGCCCUGCUUGCAGGGUGCUCGAGUGGCGAACGGGUGAGUAACACGUGGGUGAUCUGCCCCUUACUUUGGGAUAAGCCUGGGAAACUGGGUCUAAUACUGGAUAGGACCAUGCUGUCGGUGGUGUGGUGGAAAGAUUAGUUUCGGUAAGGGAUGAGCUCGCGGCCUAUCAGCUUGUUGGUGGGGUAAUGGCCUACCAAGGCGUCGACGGGUAGCCGGCCUGAGAGGGUGGACGGCCACAUUGGGACUGAGAUACGGCCCAGACUCCUACGGGAGGCAGCAGUGGGGAAUAUUGCACAAUGGGCGCAAGCCUGAUGCAGCGACGCCGCGUGGGGGAUGACGGCCUUCGGGUUGUAAACUCCUUUCAGCCAUGACGAAGCCCUUGUGGUGACGGUAGUGGUAGAAGAAGCACCGGCUAACUACGUG